ACAACGAUAUCAUAAACAGCGGCAUCGCCCGAGUACCCGUACAGAGCAGACCGCAAGCCAUCAACGUUGAACAAGCGACGACGCUCUACAACAAUGAAGGCAACUUCAUUCACAGCGACCAGCGCAGCAAGAAGUGUUCAAAUCACACACACACACACACACACAUAUAUAUAUAUGCAUGAUUCUCUGCUGUGAGGAUUCGUUUUUCUUUUUGGUGGGUGUGGCCUGUGGGAUCCAAGGAGAGCUUGCACUUUAGUGUCACAAGUACGCACAUCCUGCUCAACUCCCCAAGUUACUCGGUGCUCCUUUUUUUCUCAUGUGCUCAUCUGUGCUACUAGCCUGUUCACGUUGUUCAUGUAUUCUCCUUCGUUUCUGAUUGUUGUUAUCUACUCCUUUCUCUCUCUCGCUUUCCUUUAUUCAAAACUGGUUUUCGUUUUUUUUCCGUCCAUCUCGCGCAAUUCUUUCUGCAUAUUCCUCUCUUGCCUCUUUCCCCCAUCUCUUUCCCACGGCGAGCUCGCUGGACAAGAAAAUAACAAGGGUAACGAAUCUCGGUGCUGGCGCAGCGAUCUGUGUUCUUUUUUUUUUUUCAACACGCACUCAGUACAGGACGAACUCAAGCGCUGCUGUGAUGGUGGCGGUGGUGUCCUUGUCGGUGUUGCUGCUGCAGUCAUCGCUCAUGCGUGCCGUUUUGUUUUUUUAAUCUGAUGUGAUGUCUACUCUGCCUGUGUGUGUGUGUGUGUGUGUGUGUUUUUGUUGGCUGUAAAACUGCGCCGCUAUCAUGUAUACACACACACACACACAGGCAGAGACAGGCUUUAUCACUGCUGCUACGAGGAAUACUACGACUAUCCCACGCACCCUUUCUCUGCUGCCCCUCCUUCCCUCUCUUCUCGGUAUGCGAGAAACAAAAAAGAGGUGCGUCAUGAGUCGCACCGCACAAGGACGCACGAAAGGAAACCAAAGGUCUCACGGAGACGACAGCGUGCGGUCUGGCGUUGCUCGAGUCCGCGAAUGGCCAUGUCCAUACGAAGCGCCAGCGCCGGUUCUCUGUCUCGCUCCCGCUUCCUGGGUGUGGCGUGGACAGCGGAGUGGAACCGAAUAGGUUCGAAGAUGGAAGGUGAAGGGGUGAAAGUGGUGGAGCCGUCAAGCGCUCCCCUCCCCACGUUCAAUCAUCCCCCUGCGCAACAUCCAUUCGAUCAACUCCCCCUUCCCCCUCUUCCGCUCUCUAUCUCCAUGGAUCGUCUUUUUCGUGUGCGAAG
rnacentral:misc_RNA from 1 species